rnacentral:rRNA from 1 species
AUUGAACGCUGGCGGCAGGCCUAACACAUGCAAGUCGAGCGGAUGAAGGGAGCUUGCUCCUGGAUUCAGCGGCGGACGGGUGAGUAAUGCCUAGGAAUCUGCCUGGUAGUGGGGGAUAACGUCCGGAAACGGGCGCUAAUACCGCAUACGUUCUGAGGGAGAAAGUGGGGGAUCCUCGGACCUCACGCUAUCAGAUGAGCCUAGGUCGGAUUAGCUAGUUGGUGGGGUAAAGGCCUACCAAGGCGACGAUCCGUAACUGGUCUGAGAGGAUGAUCAGUCACACUGGAACUGAGACACGGUCCAGACUCCUACGGGAGGCAGCAGUGGGGAAUAUUGGACAAUGGGCGAAAGCCUGAUCCAGCCAUGCCGCGUGUGUGAAGAAGGUCUUCGGAUUGUAAAGCACUUUAAGUUGGGAGGAAGGGCAGUAAGUUAAUACCUUGCUGUUUUGACGUUACCAACAGAAUAAGCACCGGCUAACUUCGUG